AGGCUCCCAGUAGACGACUGGGUUGAUAGGCCAGAUGUGGAAGCCCGGUAACGGGUGGAGCUGACUGGUACUAAUAGGCCGAGGGCUUGUCCUCAGUUG
rnacentral:rRNA from 2 species